CGGGGGCUGAAUGAGAUGGAGCGAGGAGACAGUGCUUCAAAUCGGUAAUGCCGCCUUCUUUUCUCUUUUAGCUGUUAUCGAACUCGAUUUGGUAGUGACCGUAGCUUACACUGUCGCUGCCCGCCAUUGAGAAAACAGGGGAGGUUCCGGUUCUGACAAAACAGGGGAAGUGCAGGUGGACAGGGACCUACUUAAGGAAGAGAAGAAGAAGCUGGAGUAUCUGAUUGCUGAUCUGCUAAAAGCUGGGCAUUGCACCAAAGAUAAGCUGGAGAGGAUCAAGGCAAUAGUGGAUGAGUGAAGUUCUUUAUGUGCGUGUUAAGUAUUAGGCCUAUAUAUAUAGCUGGCCUUGAAAUGUCCUGCAUGGUAGGUGUAUAUUUUGGGGAAGUGUCAUGUGGUUUCAGAACCUAUGCUAUCUCGGACAUGUAAUGACUUCUAUGUUAAGAUUCAGUAACUUAACUGAAUUUUGGACAGUUUAUCUAAAA
rnacentral:lncRNA from 1 species